UACAGAGGGUGCAAGCGUUGUUCGGAAUUACUGGGCGUAAAGGGCGCGUAGGCGGUGUGUCAAGUCAGGCGUGAAAGCCCCGGGCUCAACCUGGGAACAGCGCUUGAGACUGGCACGCUCGAGUUCGGGAGAGGAUGGUGGAAUUCCCAGUGUAGAGGUGAAAUUCGUAGAUAUUGGGAAGAACACCGAUGGCGAAGGCAGCCAUCUGGACCGACACUGACGCUGAGGCGCGAAAGCGUGGGGAGCAAACAGG
rnacentral:rRNA from 1 species